GCCAUCGUAUAUCAGUGGUAGAUUUCCCUCACUCUUUGGCGGGCAAGGACGGGAUUUUUAAGGGAGGGAGGCGUGGGUUCGAUCCCUAGCGAUGGUA